CUCUCACCUCCCCAGCCCUCGUCUGCCACGCGGGUGGAAAGGGGAUCCCGGCCCGGACCGUGCACCCAUCCGUCUGUCUUCUCUGAGUCUCCGUUUGCUGAUCUGCGAAACAGAAAUUGCACUGCCUUAAGGACCGAAGUAGUUGCCUGAACUCCAGCCAUCACAUCUGUAAUCCAGGAAGCAGGAAGAAAGAAGGGGUAAAAAUAUCACGGCCGCUCCUUCUAAGCAGACUUUCAGCCAUCUAUCAUCAUCAAUCUUCAUCAUUAGUCACGUAGCCACAUCUAAUGACAGGAGAAGCUAAUAAACAUAGUCUUACAGCUA